GACGAACGCUGGCGGCGCGCUUAACACAUGCAAGUCGAACGGAAAGGCCCUGCUUCUGUGGGGUGCUCGAAUGGCGAACGGGUGAGUAACACGUGAGUAACCUGCCCUUGACUUUGGGAUAACUUCAGGAAACUGGGGCUAAUACCGGCUAGGAGCUCCUGCUGCCUGGUGGGGGUUGGAAAGUUUCGGCGGGUGGGGAUGGACUCGCGGCUUAUCAGCUUGUUGGUGGGGUAGUGGCUUACCACGGCUUUGACGGGUAGCCGGCCUGUGAGGGUGAACGGCCACAUUAGGACUGAGAUACGGCCCAGACGCCUACGGGAGGCAGCAGUGGGGAAUAUUGCACAAUGGGCGGAAGCCUGAUGCAGCAACGCCGCGUGCGGGAUGACGGCCUUCGGGUUGUAAACCGCUUUCGCCUGUGACGAAGCGUGAGUGACGGUAAUGGGUAAAGAAGCACCGGCUAACUACGUG
rnacentral:rRNA from 1 species